GAUUGCAUCUUAGAACUUGGUCCAUCCAAAUGGAUGUGAACUAGGAUUCUAGACUAAAUAUUACAAGUUUUCUAUAUGUUACCUUAAUUGGUUGCAUAUAGUAGCUAGUAAGUUUACCUUGAAAAAAUUAGAGUGCUCAAUGCGGGCUUAAUGCCUGAAUACUCGUGCAUGGAAUAAUAAAAUAGGAUCUUGGUUCUAUUUUGUUGGUUUUCUGAUCUAAGAUGAUGGUUAAGAGGGACGGACGGGGGCAUUCGUAUCGCUACGUGAGAGGUGAAAUUCUUGGACCGUAGCGAGACGUACAACUGCGAAAGCAUUUGCCAAGAAUGUCUUCAUUAAUCAAGAACGAAAGUCAGAGGUUCGAAGGCGAUCAGAUACCGCCCUAGUUCUGACCGUAAACGAUACCAACUAGCGUUCCGUCGGCGGUAAAUACGCCUUGA
rnacentral:rRNA from 1 species